AACGAACGCUGGCGGCAGGCCUAACACAUGCAAGUCGAACGCACCGCAAGGUGAGUGGCGCACGGGUGAGUAACACGUGGGAAUGUAUCCUUUGGUUCGGAAUAACGUCUGGAAACGGACGCUAAUACCGGAUGAGCCCUUAGGGGGAAAGAUUUAUCGCCGAAGGAGCAGCCCGCGUCGGAUUAGGUAGUUGGUGGGGUAAAGGCCUACCAAGCCGACGAUCAGUAGCUGGUCUGAGAGGAUGAUCAGCCACACUGUGACGGUGACACGGCCCAGACUCCUACGGGAGGCAGCAGUGGGGAAUAUUGGACAAGGGGCGCAAGCCUGAUCCAGCCAUGCCGCGUGGGUGAUGAAGGCCUUCGGGUUGUAAAGCUCUUUCGCACACGACGAUGAUGACGGUAGUGUGAGAAGAAGCCCCGGCUAACUUCGUGCCAGCCGCCGCCGUAAUAC
rnacentral:rRNA from 1 species